AUUGAACGCUGGCGGCAGGCCUAACACAUGCAAGUCGAACGAGUGGCGGACGGGUGAGUAAUGUCUGGGAAAAUGCCUGAUGGAGGGGGCUAACUACUGGAAAACGUAGCUAAUACCGCAUACCAUCAGAUGUGCCCAUCGUGGAUUAGCUUGUUGGUGGGGUAACGGCUCUCCAAGGCGACGAUCACUAGCUGGUCUGAGAGGAUGACCCGCUACACUGUAACGGAGACACGGUCCAGACUCCUACGGGAGGCAGCAGUGGUGAAUAUUGCACAAUGUGCGCAAGCCUGAUGCAGCCAUGCCGCGUGUAUGAAGAAGGCCUUCGGGUUGUAAAGUACUUUCAGCGGGGAGGCGUUACCCGCAGAAGAAGCACCGGCUAACUCCGUGCCAGCAGCCGCGGUAAUAC
rnacentral:rRNA from 1 species